UUUUGACGAUGAUUUGCAUUUUGAAUAUGACAUUUCUUUUUCAUUUAUUGUUGUGCUUUUAUAAUGCUCGUUUGUUCGCUUUUUUCCCAAAACCAAUCGCUCAGACUAAAACACCGUACCAGCUUUAGUAUGACGUCAAGACGACAUAUCAAUGUCAUCUAUCCUUGUUUUGAUUGGCUAAAAUACCAUCUACUUGAAUUCCGAUUGGUUAAUAAUUUUGGCACUUGAAUGACUUUUAUUCAACUGACAAUCGCCAUGAAGAUGUUAAAUUCGUAAAUACUUACUUUCAAGUUCUAUAAAUUCAGGCGUAUAUUCCUCACGAUUGGACCAGCCUUCCGGCACACACCGCUAGUGCCAGUUCAUUACUUUCAAGACCUUAGUUUCGGAAUAGAGCUGUAUAAAUUAUUAUGAUGUUAAACCAACCAAGGACUACCUGAGGGUCAUGCUUGAUGCUAAAGGCUGGAAGACAUAAGAAUAGGCAAAUGUAGCUGGCUUUCUUACUUUGAUACAGCAGUAUAAGUGUAAUAGGGUUUUUAGAGCAAGAUACUUUGUGUCAAUGAUACUGUAAAUCUGUAAAACAUUUUUUAUCAACCUGAAGACAAUAAGGAAAGGGGAAAUGAUAGGUGCUCAAUCAAGUUGUUGCAAUACUGUUAAAGUUUUUUUAUCAAAAAUAUAGUCCCAGUUUCUUUUUUCUCUCUC